GACGAACGCUGGCGGCGUGCUUAGCACAUGCAAGUCGAACGGAGCGAAUGAAAGCUUGCUUUUAUGAGCUUAGUGGCAAACGGGUGAGUAACACGUAGACAACCUGCCGACAGGAUGGGGACAACAUUCCGAAAGGAAUGCUAAUACCGAAUGAAGCGGAGGAGAGGCAUCUCUCCUCCGUGAAAGAUGGCCUCUAUUUAUAAGCUAUCACCUGUCGAUGGGUCUGCGUCUGAUUAGCUAGUUGGUGAGGUAACGGCUCACCAAGGCGACGAUCAGUAGCCGGUCUGAGAGGAUGAACGGCCACAUUGGGACUGAGACACGGCCCAGACUCCUACGGGAGGCAGCAGUGGGGAAUCUUCCGCAAUGGGCGCAAGCCUGACGGAGCAACGCCGCGUGAGUGAAGAAGGUCUUCGGAUCGUAAAGCUCUGUUGACGGGGACGAACGUGCGAAGGGUGAAUAAUCCUUUGUAAUGACGGUACCUGUCGAGGAAGCC
rnacentral:rRNA from 1 species